rnacentral:lncRNA from 1 species
CAGCUCCCGGCCCGGGGUUGCGGGCGCUGGCCUGGCCGCUCGCUGGCUCAGCCCCAGCGAGACCCUGUGCUGGGCAAUCAAGUUGAAGAUACGCUGAGGUCCAUGCCGCUCCUCUGGCUGCCAUCCUCCCGAGGGGGAGAGACUGGAGCCUCAAGCACAGGUGUAUGAGACAGAAGGCACUGCUGGCCAGAAAUUCCAGAUCCAUCGGGAGCUUGCAAUGCUUCACCAGCGUCUGGGAAAUGCCCCAGGAUUCCCUGCUGCGUUACCCCGGGAGACUAUUGCGCAAUUCCAGCAGCUGUUCUGGAGGACAAGAAAAAGCAGACAUUCUGAAUGUAUCAUACGUACAAUGUAAUAUUGAAUUGAAGAUCCCUAAUGAACGAGGCCUCUUUCGUUGUGCAGUCUACUUCCAGUGAGGUCUAGUUCUUAAUUUUCAGUGGGCGUAGCAGGAAGUGCUAGUGUAAAAAAUAAAACAUAUAUAUUACUAAUACUGUUGCUAUAUAAAAC